AUUCGAUUUGCCAAUGCAGAAAAUGCCAAAAAGUGGUACACCACGUUUGAAGAAGCAAAGCAAAUAGUUGCCACUCAAUGCGACCUCUAUAACAAAUCACUGGAAGAACUGAUCAAUCAAGACGAGGAGAAAACCAACAGCGGAGACAGCAGUGAUGACACAAGCGACUCGCUGAGCGAUGAUGAUGGGAGCGAUGAGAAAACCAAACCAGCAGAAGAAUCUAAAGAAACCGACGACAAGUGUGAUCCAGACCUCAAUCAAGCAGUAGAAAACCUUCGAAUAGACUCCAAGACUGAUAAAGCUGAAGAUUCUAAAGUGUCUGAUUCCCAAGUUUCAGAACCUAAAGCGGAGGUCUAAUCUUCCUACUUUUGCUUUCUCCGUGAUCCCACUUUGUUUAAGUUAAGAGGCUAGUGAUGUUUGCAUUUUUACUCAAUCUUCUUAAUUUCAAGCAAAGCUUCUCUUUUUAUAAUAAGUUUUUGUUUAGAAUCUUUUAGAAUUUUUCUAGAGUUUCCAGUGUUUUCUUUUUUCUCAGAUUUCUUCUUAAUAUCAUUGAGAAAACUCUGAAUUAUUUACCUCCCAUCCACAGGCCAUUUGAACAGCUUCAAAUCAAAGCAAUAAUUUUUUUCCAGCCCAGAGUUGAUAAUAAAGAAAAUUCACAUCAACAACAGUAAGUUUAGGAUUUCUUUCCUUUUUUAAGAAAUCAAUAUCCGUAUGGUCCAAAUUGGCCA
rnacentral:lncRNA from 1 species